UUUGAGCAGUGUACUUUUUUUUUUGUUUAAAAUAGUGUUUUUUAAUACACCAGUAACUCUAGACUGCACGUCUUUGCUGCACUGUGUCGGGUGUUGGAGUUAGGCUGGGUGGGGAACCUUUUCUUUCCCACCAGAUGGAGCCAGAGGUUGGCAGUCGUUCACUCUAAAAAGUGUAUUUGGGCUGUAGUUAAUGUUAUGGCCUUUUUUACAUUAACCUGACUUAAUUGUUUGGCUUUAGUUAUGUCAACUUACUUUCAUGAGUUCAAUUAACUUAAAAGACACACAUUUCAUCUAAAACAAACGGUUAACUUUGAGUUGACGUGAACCAAUUAAGUUGAAUGCAGUUUUACGUCUGACGUCAUUACGCAAGCUUUGCCCGAGACAGAUCCACUUCUUGUACCGACCGCUUGUGCAGCCGCCAUUUCUUCUGACCAUCGACUGUCCACCGGAUUGUAAAACAGCCUGGAGCCAAGCAUCAUCAGACCAUAGAAGUGUUUCACUUCAUGUGGAGAUGCAAAGACUGCGAGAGCUUGUUUUCCAGAAGAUCUGAAUUGCUCAAGCACUACAAACUAAACCACAGGCAUUAUGGACGGG